AGAACGAACGCUGGCGGCAGGCCUCAAACAUGCAAGUCUAGGGGACGUAGCAAUACGUCACCGGCGGACGGGUGCGUAACACGUGGGAAUGUACUUACUGGUUCGGAACAACUCAGGGAAACUUGAGCUAAUACCGAAUGUGCCCGAAAGGGGAAAGAUUUAUCGCCAGUAAAUCAGCCCGCGUCCGAUUAGCUAGUUGGUGGGGUAAAGGCUCACCAAGGCGACGAUCGGUAGCUGUUCUGAGAGGAAGAUCAGCCACACUGGGACUGAGACACGGCCCAGACUCCUACGGGAGGCAGCAGUUGGGAAUCUUGGACAAUGGGGGAAACCCUGAUCCAGCCAUGCCGCGUGAGUGAUGAAGGCCUUCGGGUUGUAAAACUCUUUCGACGGGGACGAUAAUGACGGUACCCGUAGAAGAAGCUCCGGCUAACUUCGUGCCAGCAGCCGC
rnacentral:rRNA from 1 species